CGCUAGCGGCAGGCUUAACACAUGCAAGUCGAGGGGCAACGCGAGUAGCAAGUACUUGGCGGCGACCGGCGCAAGGGUGCGUAACGCGUGAGCAACAGUGCCCGUAUCAGGGGGAUAAUCCAGGGAAACUUGGUCUAAUACCCAGUAGUAAUUUUUGUAAGGCAUCUUAUAAGAGUUUAAAGCUUUGGUGGAUACGGAUUGGCUCGCGUGACAUUAGCUGGAUGGUAAGGUAACGGCUUACCAUGGCUAUGAUGUCUAGGGGUUCUGAGAGGAAGGUCCCCCACACUGGAACUGAGACACGGUCCAGACUCCUACGGGAGGCAGCAGUGAGGAAUAUUGGACAAUGGAUGGAAAUCUGAUCCAGCCAGUGCCGCGUGAAGGAAGAAAGGUCCCAUGGAUUGUAAACUUCUUUUGUAUGGGAGCAAGUAAGGCCUACGAGUAGGUUGAUGAGAGUACCAUACGAAUUAAGCACCGGCUAACUCCGUGCCAGCAGCUGC
rnacentral:rRNA from 1 species